CUGUGGGGUUUGGCCAGAGUCCCGGGCUGGACACUCGGCUCCAUAUCAGCUCUGGCUCCCGCUCCGUUGAGUGGGCCCCUGAGGGAGCUCCGGCUGGACUGCCUGACUGGUGUUCACAGCUUUUAAUUUCCCUGCAGCUUCACGGCGAGACCUCGGCAAAGACUCGUCCAAAGCUCACUCUCACUCCAGAGCGGGAAGCAACUGCAGGUUGAUGGCACACUCUGGCAUCCACUCCCAGGGGCGUUUCAGGAUGGGGUCUGAGGGAACUCGAGAGAUGGCCCUAGGCAUGCCAGAGGUUCCAGAGGGACCAACUAAGGUGGGACAAUCACAUCAUCCAUGGACUGGGGGCCAGAAAGGAGUAAGGAAGGAGCUUUACUCCACAGCAUGAACUCGGAGGUGAUGAGCUGCCUCACCAAAGUCCUGAAAGCAACAGAAGACAAGUGGCCUUGGCCUGAAUCCAGGAGGCAGAAUAACCCCUUCCUGACUGGAAGCUGCCAUCUCAGGUGCUGUAUCACUCUGACUUCUGAGGAGCACACAGCCUCAUCUUCUCCACCGGCAAGGACACAAUGUGGCACUCAUAACCCAGGCCUGACCUUUCCCAGGUGCUUUGCUUGGCCUGCCUCCCCCAACCAUUAUUGUCAUCUGGACAUCUGGGAGUGUUUCCAGGACCCCAAAAGCUGUCGUCCUGUGGGAGUCACUACACAAAUGCCCCAGUGCCUCUUGGGAGCUGCCUUCCAAUGCAGCCAUAGUUUUGUUGUUAGCCUGUUUUCAUGUGGGGGUUGGAGAUUCACACUGGGGUCCUUGUGCUUACAGAGCAAGCAUUCUUACCCACCAGGCCAUCUCCCCAGUCCAGAGUGUUGGAUUUUUAAAACUGCUAUUUGAGAUUCACAAAAUCUGGUUCGGUGACUUUGGGCUUAGGACUGGGACAGACUUUCUGAUGAUUUCAGAAAUGGCCUUAAAUGCGCCUCUGCCUUUGAGACAGUUUCUCCGCUCUGGCGGCGUUCUCAGCAGUUUCAAUCAUUCAGCCAAGAUUUAAUCUUUCUACGAAAUAAACAAACCCACCUCAUUAGUGUGCAGAUUCGCGUCCACCUUAAUGGGAAGCUUGUAUGUAUAACAAAGAACUGUCCCAACACAGAUUUCUUUAUGAUUUGCCAGUCAGUGUUUGAUGUGCAUGCCCAUUUUAGAUACCUUGGACUGCAGAGAGAGUUUACGAAGCCUGCUGUACCCAACCGCAGCAAGGGGGCGCCUCUCAGGCAGUCCUGUGUAGGAUGAAUGUGUUUGUACUCAAAGGGGACUGGAUACAAUCCUGGGCUCUGGAUUCAGGCGGGUGGAUGUGAUGGCCAGUACUGAUUGUCAGCUUGACAGGAUCCAGUGUGAAGAAGAGAUAAGCAUCUAGCACAUCUGUGAGACGAUCUAGAUUAGGUUCACUGAGAGACCCACUCUAAAUGACGGUGUCAUUCCGUAGGAUGGGGUCUGCCAUGUGACCGACUGCUUUACAUUCCUCCAGCAUGGCUACCCUGUUGUGACAAGUUGCGCCCUCAGACCUCAAGCGAAAAUAGACCUCUCCUACUCUAAAUUGAUUUUUAUCAGGUAUUUGUCAGAGCAACAAAAGUAAUAGAGUGGUCUACACUCAGAUUCUGGGGAGAUGGGGCCUGCGAUGGAGCUUGUAAGGAGCCAUGUGAUUUCCCACAUUUCCUGGUCCACUUGGCAUGUCCCUGUGUAUGACCCUCUCAGGCACCCUUUGCCUAGGCAUGGCACCAGACGCACGAAGGCACACUCUCAGGAUGUAUAAGCACAAUGGUUAGGCACCCACCCCCAGCUCCCACACUUCCAGGUGUGUACCUGGGUAAAGCAUCUGCCCACUCUGUGUCUCACAUAACAUAAGACCAGGCAUCAUUCCUACCUUCUUGGCUGGUUGGAAAGCAAGUACAACCUGCAAGGCCUAUCAGUGAGGCUACUGGAACCAUCUUCCCAUGGGGAGUUCUCCAUAAUGUCUGUUCUCUGUGACUCAGCAGGAGUCAGUGUGUGCCAGUCUUGCCUAGGGCACACUCUCCUGAAGCUUCCCUUAGACCUGUCGCCUGAGUCUCCAUCUCAUCCCAUUUCUCAGGCCACGAGGCAGCAGCUCUAAGAAAUGAGUGUCAUUUGCAAACAGUGGUUUUCUAGAGAGUAACAGGCUUGCCAAGGGUCAAAGGAGAACAUGUGGACCGUGUAACCAUGGUGGGCAGCUUACUUUGUCUCUUAGCCUUAUCUGUAAAGGGACCUACAUUCUCCUGUGCUGAAGUGUUUAUAGGGCUCUGUUGGCAUUGAGGGUUCUGGCACUAAGUGAUUGCUCAAUAAAUACUUUCUGUGGUUA